rnacentral:rRNA from 1 species
CUGCGGAGGGAUCAUUGCUGGAACGCGCCCCAGGCGCACCCAGAAACCCUUUGUGAACUUAUACCUUACUGUUGCCUCGGCGCAUGCUGGCCUCUUAGUAGGCCCCUCACCCCGGUGAGGAGAAGGCACGCCGGCGGCCAAGUUAACUCUUGUUUUUACACUGAAACUCUGAGAAAAAACACAAAUGAAUCAAAACUUUCAACAACGGAUCUCUUGGUUCUGGCAUCGAUGAAGAACGCAGCGAAAUGCGAUAAGUAAUGUGAAUUGCAGAAUUCAGUGAAUCAUCGAAUCUUUGAACGCACAUUGCGCCCUCUGGUAUUCCGGAGGGCAUGCCUGUUCGAGCGUCAUUUCAACCCUCAAGCAUUGCUUGGUGUUGGGGCACUGCUUUUAACGAAGCAGGCCCUAAAAUCUAGUGGCGAGCUCGCCAGGACCCCGAGCGCAGUAGUUAAACCCUCGCUUUGGAAGGCCCUGGCGGUGCCCUGCCGUUAAACCCCCAACUUCUGAAAAUUUGACCUCGGAUCAGGUAGGAAUACCCGCUGAACUUAAGCAUAUCAAUAAGCGGAGGAA